rnacentral:rRNA from 1 species
GACGAACGCUGGCGGCGUGCCUAACACAUGCAAGUCGAACGGGACAGAGAGCUUCGGUUUUCUGUUUAGUGGCGAACGGGUGAGUAACGCGUGAGGAACCUGCCUUCCAGUGGGGGACAACAGUUGGAAACGACUGCUAAUACCGCAUAACAUGUACGGAUCGCAUGGUCUGUACAUCAAAGCUUUAUGUGCUGAAAGAUGGCCUCGCGUCUGAUUAGCUAGUUGGUGAGGUAACGGCCCACCAAGGCGACGAUCAGUAGCCGGACUGAGAGGUUGAACGGCCACAUUGGGACUGAGAUACGGCCCAGACUCCUACGGGAGGCAGCAGUGGGGAAUAUUGCACAAUGGGGGGAACCCUGAUGCAGCGACGCCGCGUGAGUGAAGAAGUAUUUCGGUAUGUAAAGCUCUAUCAGCAGGGAAGAUAAUGACGGUACCUGACUAAGAAGCCCCCGGCUAACUACGUG